rnacentral:rRNA from 1 species
CGUAGGAUCCAAGCGUUGUCCGGAUUUACUGGGUGUAAAGGGUGCGCAGGCGGACUGGUUAGUUCGUGGUGAAAUCUCGCCGCUCAACGGCGAAACUGCCUUGAAUACUGCCAGUCUUGAAUUAGCGAGAGGUUCGUGGAAUUCCGAGUGUAGCAGUGAAAUGUGUAGAUAUUCGGAAGAACACCAGUGGCGAAGGCAGCGAACUGGCGCUAUAUUGACGCUCAGGCACGAAAGCAUGGGGAUCAAACAGGAUUAGAUACCCUGGUAGUCCAUGCCCUAAACGAUGAUCACUUGGUGUCGGCCGCAAGGUCGGUGCCGAAGCUAACGCGUUAAGUGAUCCACCUGGGGAGUACGCUCGCAAGGGUG